GACAGAUGGGAGCUUGCUCCCUGAUGUUAGCGGCGGACGGGUGAGUAACACGUGGGUAACCUGCCUGUAAGACUGGGAUAACUCCGGGAAACCGGGGCUAAUACCGGAUGGUUGUUUGAACCGCAUGGUUCAAACAUAAAAGGUGGCUUCGGCUACCACUUACAGAUGGACCCGCGGCGCAUUAGCUAGUUGGUGAGGUAACGGCUCACCAAGGCAACGAUGCGUAGCCGACCUGAGAGGGUGAUCGGCCACACUGGGACUGAGACACGGCCCAGACUCCUACGGGAGGCAGCAGUAGGGAAUCUUCCGCAAUGGACGAAAGUCUGACGGAGCAACGCCGCGUGAGUGAUGAAGGUUUUCGGAUCGUAAAGCUCUGUUGUUAGGGAAGAACAAGUACCGUUCGAAUAGGGCGGUACCUUGACGGUACCUAACCAGAAAGCCACGGCUAACUACGUGCCAGCAGCCGCGGUAAUACGUAGGUGGCAAGCGUUGUCCGGAAUUAUUGGGCGUAAAGGGCUCGCAGGCGGUUUCUUAAGUCUGAUGUGAAAGCCCCCGGCUCAACCGGGGAGGGUCAUUGG
rnacentral:rRNA from 1 species